GGGAGCCGAAUGAAAUCAAAGUUUCAUGUUCGGUUUUGAAUUAGAGACGUUAAAAAAACGAAUCGACGUCGACUAUAAC
rfam:Capsicum annuum cultivar Zunla-1 chromosome 1, whole genome shotgun sequence